UACAGAGGUCUCAAGCGUUGUUCGGAUUCAUUGGGCGUAAAGGGUGCGUAGGCGGCGCGGUAAGUCGGGUGUGAAAUCUCGGGGCUUAACUCCGAAACUGCAUUCGAUACUGCCGUGCUUGAGGACUGGAGAGGAGACUGGAAUUUACGGUGUAGUGGUGAGAUGCGUAGAUAUCGGGAGGAACACCAGUGGCGAAGGCGACUUCCUGGCCUGUUCUUGACGCUGAGGCGCGAAAGC
rnacentral:rRNA from 1 species